rnacentral:rRNA from 1 species
AGGGAACCUGCGGAAGGAUCAUUGU